GCCACUGUAGCUCAGGGGUAGAGCAACGGUUUCGUAAAUCGUAGGUCGAGGGUUCGAUUCCCUCCGGUGGCUCCA
rnacentral:tRNA from 1 species